AAUCUUAUAUAGAUCAUAAAUACUAUGGUGCUUAACAGAUAAGUAAACUAAAAUUGGUAGGCAGUUUACUAAAUGGUCAUCUUACCCAGAAGUUAUGAAACUUAGAUUCAAAUUCAAGACUAAUUGUAAGGGCAUAUGUUUGAAAUAAAAUGUAAUUACUGAGUAAAAUUAGGUAUUAAUUUUGAAAUGUGAGAUCUUUAGAAUUUUCUAUCUGUAACACACAAUUUUCCAUUGAUAUGAGAGACUGAAUACAGUUUGAGCAGAAGAGUAUUUUUACCCCUUUGAAAUGAUAGGUGAGACUUGAUGUAGAGAUAUAUGAAAAGUCGGCUGGGCGCGGUGGCUCACGCCUGUAAUCCCAGCACUUUGGGAGGCCAAGGCGGGUGGAUCACAAGGUCAGGAGAUCGAGACCAUCCUGGCUAACACAGUUAAACCCCGUCUCUACUAAAAAUACAAAACAUUAGCCGGGCGUGGUGGUGGGCACCUGUAGUCCCAGCUACUCGGGAGGCUGA
rnacentral:lncRNA from 1 species